GAGGAAGGUGGAAGGAAAAAGAAUAGAGGAUAAAGGAGAGAUGGAGUAAUAUAAGAAUGACAUGUAUAUGAAUGACUUGUAUAGGAAUAACUUGUAUAGGAAUAACUUGUACAGGAAUAACUUGUACAGGAAUGACUUGUACAGGAAUGACUUGUACAGGAAUGACUUGUACAGGAAUGACUUGUAUAGGAAUAACUUGUAUAGGAAUAACUUGUAUAGGAAUAACUUGUAUAGGAAUAACUUGUAUAGGAAUAAGUUGUAUAGGAAUAAGUUGUAUAGGAAUGACUUGUAGCAUAUGACUCUGUGCUAUCUGGACUAGAAAGGUAGCUGGCUACAUUCAACGCCAAUUGAUAGAAACAUUGUUUUCCUUUUAGUGCUACAGAUAUAUCAUGAAGUGGCAUAACAAAUCAAAUCAUAGUUCAUUUUGUCGCGUAAACAGAUUUGCAGACGUUACGACAACAACAGAAUUGAAGAAAGGAGAUAUUUGCAGCUUGAACCCCAGCCAGCCUCUCACUACAUUACACACAAUACAUUACUAUAAUGCAUUUGAUGAGCUAACCUACAUCAUUACACUACAAGCAAAUCAGCAUAUUAGCAAUGCGCUUUUAAUUAGCCAUUGUAACUAACUGUGGUCCAGCUCUAUUUCCCCAUGUCCACUAUUGUUCAUUCAGAGGCCCUGGUUGUGUCUGUGUGAGAGAGUGCAGUGAUACAAUAUGAAAAACAUAGCCUACAGUUCUAGGUCUCAGGAAUACUAGAGAAAAUUAAUUAUAUCCCAGAAAUAUUAUGUGGGACAACAACAACAACAACAAAUAAGAGAACAUCUCUCAAGAGAUAUUAUUCCCGACAGAAAAACAAGGUCUUAACAUGUUCUACAAUGAGUUUGGACCGGAAGACAGAACAGAACCUAUUCAGAUCGGUGGAGAACCAGCUGAAAACCAAGGGCAUAUCCCAAAUGGCACCCUAUUCCCUAUAUAGUGCACUACUAUUGACCAGCACCCUAUUCCCUAUAUAAGGCACUACUAUUGACCAGCACCCUAUUCCCUAUAUAAGGCACUACUAUUGACCAGCACCCUAUUC
ensembl:lncRNA